rnacentral:tRNA from 1 species
UAAUAAGAAGCAAUAUUUGCAUUUAGUUUCGACCUAAAAAUUUGAUUUAACUAUCCUUAUUAA